GAGUGAACGCUGGCGGUAGGCCUAACACAUGCAAGUCGAACGGCAGCCCAGUAAGAGCUUGCUCUUACGGGUGGCGAGUGGCGGACGGGUGAGGAAUACAUCGGAAUCUACUUUUUCGUGGGGGAUAACGUAGGGAAACUUACGCUAAUACCGCAUACGACCUACGGGUGAAAGCAGGGGAUCUUCGUACCUUGCGCGAUUGAAUGAUCCGAUGUCGGAUUAGCUAGUUGGCGGGGUAAAGGCCCACCAAGGCGACGAUCCGUAGCUGGUCUGAGAGGAUGAUCAGCCACACUGGAACUGAGACACGGUCCAGACUCCUACGGGAGGCAGCAGUGGGGAAUAUUGGACAAUGGGCGCAAGCCUGAUCCAGCCAUACCGCGUGGGUGAAGAAGGCCUUCGGGUUGUAAAGCCCUUUUGUUGGGAAAGAAAAGCAGCAGGUUAAUACCCCGCUGUUCUGACGGUACCCAAAGAAUAAGCACCGGCUAACUUCGUG
rnacentral:rRNA from 1 species